UACGUAGGGUGCGAGCGUUGUCCGGAAUUAUUGGGCGUAAAGAGCUUGUAGGCGGUUUGUCGCGUCUGCUGUGAAAAUCCGGGGCUCAACCCCGGACUUGCAGUGGGUACGGGCAGACUAGAGUGUGGUAGGGGAGACUGGAAUUCCUGGUGUAGCGGUGAAAUGCGCAGAUAUCAGGAGGAACACCGAUGGCGAAGGCAGGUCUCUGGGCCACUACUGACGCUGAGAAGCGAAAAGCGUGGGGAGCGAACAGG
rnacentral:rRNA from 1 species